GCGUCCUUGGUGUAACGGUAACACGCGAUCUAUAAUACUGUUGGAUUGGUCCGGGGUUCGACUCCCCGAGGGCGCC